UUGAUGAUAUGGAUUUUUUCAAGUUAGAGCUAUUUGAUUGAAUAUAGAUUUCAUAAAUCAAUCUUAGAUCAUCCUGAUAUAAGGUUGUCCUAACAUAACGAGGGUCGUUAUGUGGUAUGGUUGUCCUAAGAUAAAAACAAAUUGAUACACAAAACAUCAUAAGAAAUUAGCAUGAACAUAAGGACUAUGUGAUAGCCAUGUAUGUGUUUUUCAUGGAUACAUGUAGUGAUCUCCAUGAAUCACUACAAAUCUUAGGAGUAGAGUUGUAUCAUAAAUACACUUUAGAUGAUUGUAAUCUCAAUCUCUGGUGUGGAACCAAAAGUCAAGUCUAAUUUGGAAUAGGUUGACCUAUUGGUGUUUAAGAUAAGUGCUUUAAAAGAUGGUUACUUAAUUAGGACCGUUGCAUUAGCAGCGGGGAGCCUCCCACCAAUCAUCACUUAUUUGAUCAAUUUGGUUGAUCAAAUUCUAAUUUGGGAUGCUUAGUGUUGAGUUCACCAUGAUUGUGUUGCACCAUGAGUCUGAUCUUGAUGAAUUAAAAUGCGAUCUCACUAAUAGAUCCAAUUUAAUUGUAAAUUUAUAUGUGAUUUAAAUAAAUAAUUAAAACCUAAGAAGAUCAAAAUAAAUUUUCUCAUAAAAUAUUAAAUCGAGUAAUCUUCCACCAUUGUAGAUGUACGGGCCCUUCCGAAUGUUGAACGUUCUCGACUGGUCACAGUGGUUUAGUUGCAUCAACGAAGAUGCAACCACUCUAUAGCAUGAGAUGCUUUAGGAUAAAGAUAGGAUUUAGCCCAAUAACUCUUAGAUGAGGAAUCCAAUGACAGUUUUAUACCUGCUAGUGAGCGGUGGGUCAGACUUAACUAAGAAAUAAGAUCCAUAACUAUUAGAUGAGGCCUUAGGACUUAGAGGUCAAAGAUCACUGCAACAUGCUUGGAGAAGUAUUCAACAAGAGUUGUUUACUUAUUGAUUGACACAUCCUCAAUAACUGUCAAGUGAGAUGGUGUGCUGAUCAGUGGAACCGCAAUAUCCAUUUGAAACCUUAGUUAUGAAGGAUUUCAAUUUCUCUACUUGAGGUAUGUAUGAGAUUCAAAAAAAUAGAGGGAGACAUAUUUAUUUUAAAAGAUUCUAGAAAAAAUAUUAAAAUCAAGUACGAAAAUCUAACUAGAAUCUCUGUAGGAUUUUAGGGUGGACAUACACAGUGAAAGAAUAAUAGAUUUUAAAAUUUAAAUUAAGAAAUUCUAAAUAUAAAACCCUUAAACCAGCAUCUCCUUGAUGAUUAACAAUCAUAUAUAACUUAAAUUCAAAAUUAAAUUCAAGCUAUAGAAGAAUACCUGCAGCACUUAAUUCUAUUUCUCUUUUGGACACCAGGACCUUAAGACCCUCUUCCUCUUCUCCUAGCCUUCCUAUCCCUACCUUUCUUCUCUCCUUGUCUUCUUUAAUUUUCUUCCUAGACUCUUGUCCUAAAAUUGGACUUGUCCUUUCUAUUUUGGACUUGUCCUAACAAGAGAAAGAAGGGACUAAUUAGACAAUAGAGAGAGAAUAUUAGAAAGAAAGGAAGAAUUGAAAAUCUGAAUGAAUCCAAUCCCCCGACGCACCCUCCUUUAAAUACUUAGCCACAGGUUGCCUUCGGGAAUUAUUUGUGCCCCUUCCACAUGCCAUCUUACAUCCAUCAAAAGAUCUCACACCUCCUGAUGAAUUUUCAUGCCCAUCUGAAAGAUUUUGACACAUGACAAUCAUCGAAAAAAAAUUUAAGAGAUGCUUCACGCAGAAGAACUCUUCAGAAUAUUUUUCUCGAUGAUUCUCCGAAGCGUCGUAUAGCUUCCUAUGGCAUAAUUUUUUUUCACCACCCAUUAGUACAAUUUUGUCCAUCCAAUAUCCAAAAAUAAAGGCACUAACAUCAAAAUGGUGUGGAAAAAAAUCUCAGAUUAAGAAGUGGCGUGACAAAUGGGCUAGAGUCCUUCACAAGUUGGACUC
rnacentral:lncRNA from 1 species